rnacentral:misc_RNA from 1 species
GUUCAACUUAGAUAUAAAACAAAACACAAGGCAAACUAUGAAGAAUAGAUAAAUACAACCAUAUUGAUAAACCACAACUAUAUAUUGUUUGUAAGCGCAUUAAUGUAUAAAUAAAGCUUAAAGCACAAGGCCCAAUGAGGCAGUGACAAAAUAUCUUCUUAACAUUUAAUUAAAAUAAGGUCCAUCCUGAAGCUCAAAAACACAAAAAGGCAUGCGGUUGUUGUUGAGCCCAUAAUCAAUAGUACUGGGAAUUCCAUAACCUUUUUUUUAACAUUAUAAGCAUUUUAAUAGUCUAACAUUCAUAUGUUUAUCCUAAAUAAACUACCAUGACAUCAUAACAUUUGCAGAAAUAACAGUUCAACCAUACCCUAUGAAUUCCAAGACAACAUACCAGAUAUUCAACAACCACCAAUUACAUGUGAUGCUCAAGACAUUUUAUAUAGACCUACAUACCAAGAAUAAGUUCAACAU